GAUGAACGCUGGCGGCGUGCCUAAUACAUGCAAGUCGAGCGAACGGACGAGAAGCUCGCUUUUCUGAUGUUAGCGGCGGACGGGUGAGUAACACGUGGAUAACCUACCUAUAAGACUGGGAUAACUUCGGGAAACCGGAGCUAAUACCGGAUAAUAUUUUGAACCGCAUGGUUCAAAAGUGAAAGACGGUCUUGCUGUCACUUAUAGAUGGAUCCGCGCUGCAUUAGCUAGUUGGUAAGGUAACGGCUUACCAAGGCAACGAUGCAUAGCCGACCUGAGAGGGUGAUCGGCCACACUGGAACUGAGACACGGUCCAGACUCCUACGGGAGGCAGCAGUAGGGAAUCUUCCGCAAUGGGCGAAAGCCUGACGGAGCAACGCCGCGUGAGUGAUGAAGGUCUUCGGAUCGUAAAACUCUGUUAUUAGGGAAGAACAUAUGUGUAAGUAACUGUGCACAUCUUGACGGUACCUAAUCAGAAAGCCACGGCUAACUACGUG
rnacentral:rRNA from 1 species